rnacentral:rRNA from 1 species
UACAGAGGUCUCAAGCGUUGUUCGGAUUCAUUGGGCGUAAAGGGUGCGUAGGUGGCGCGCUAAGUCAGGUGUGAAAUUUCGGAGCUUAACUCCGAAACUGCAUUUGAUACUGCGGUGCUUGAGGACUGGAGAGGAGACUGGAAUUCAUGGUGUAGCAGUGAAAUGCGUAGAGAUCAUGAGGAAGACCAGUGGCGAAGGCGGGUCUCUGGACAGUUCCUGACACUGAGACACGAAGGCCAGGGGAGCAAACGGG